rnacentral:rRNA from 1 species
GACGAACGCUGGCGGCGUGCCUAAUACAUGCGAGUUGAGCGCUGAAGGUUGGUACUUGUACCGACUGGAUGAGCAGCGAACGGGUGAGUAACGCGUGGGGAAUCUGCCUUUGAGCGGGGGACAACAUUUGGAAACGAAUGCUAAUACCGCAUAAAAACUUUAAACACAAGUUUUAAGUUUGAAAGAUGCAAUUGCAUCACUCAAAGAUGAUCCCGCGUUGUAUUAGCUAGUUGGUGAGGUAAAGGCUCACCAAGGCGAUGAUACAUAGCCGACCUGAGAGGGUGAUCGGCCACAUUGGGACUGAGACACGGCCCAAACUCCUACGGGAGGCAGCAGUAGGGAAUCUUCGGCAAUGGACGAAAGUCUGACCGAGCAACGCCGCGUGAGUGAAGAAGGGUUUCGGAUCGUAAAACUCUGUUGGUAGAGAAGAACGUUGGUGAGAGUGGAAAGCUCAUCAAGUGACGGUAACUACCCAGAAAGGGACGGCUAACUACGUG